rnacentral:lncRNA from 1 species
AGAAACAUAAAAUAAAAUUUUCAGAAUUUUUAAAUGCUUAAAAGUAUUUUUAAACCAAUUAAAACAAAGGAGAAAAGAGAAAAUUCAAGAAAAAUAGAAAAUCAAGAAAAUAAAAUAAGGAAAAAUAAAAAUCAGAUGAAGAAAAAUAAAAGAGAAUUUUAAAAAAUAUUUUGGAGUUUUUUUGGAUGAAAAAUGAAUUUGCUAUGAAUUUUCAAAGAAAAUGCAAUUUAAAAUGAA